CCGUGGCGGGAAGGGCCCUGUAAGUUCCCGAGUUAAGGCAGAUCACGGGGACUGAAGAGGAAGAACAAAGUCAGAGGGGCAGUAGGGGAGCCAAACUGAGCAAAGAACAAUUCAGGACGCCCAGUGAAAUCUGAAUUUCAGGAUACAGGGGAGCCUGUUUCCAGGGGCCCAGCAGGAAACAAUUGGAGGAUGAGAAGCCCAGGAGGCAGGCCCACUGUGUGACCCUGGAGAGUUCCGCCAUCCCUUGAAGCCUGGUUUCGCAUCUGUAGAGUGGAACCCCACAGUUGUCCAGGCAGCUACAACCCCAGCUGAUCGCAGUCCCACACUACCAUGGAUCUGGGAGGAACUUUCUCAGAGGUGA